rnacentral:sRNA from 1 species
AAUAUUAGUUGUUUUCAAGUUUCUAUACAAAUUAUAU